AUUGAACGCUGGCGGCAGGCCUAACACAUGCAAGUCGAGCGAGCGGCGGACGGGUGAGUAAUGUGUGGGAAACUGCCUGAUGGAAGGGGAUAACUCCUGGAAACGGUGGCUCAUUCCGCAUACCAUCAGAUGUGCCCAGAUGGGAUUAGCUGGGUGGUGGGGUAACGGCGUACCUAGGCGACGAUCCCUAGCUGGUCUGAGAGGAUGACCAGCCACACUGGAACUGAGACACGGUCCAGACUCCUACGGGAGGCAGCAGGGGGGAAUAUUGCACAAUGGGCGCAAGCCUGAUGGAGCAAUGCCGCGUGUGUGAUGAAGGCCUUCGGGUUGUAAAGCACUUUUAGCGGGGAGGCGUUACCUGCAGAAGAAGCACCGGCUAACUCCGUGCCAGCAGCCGCGGUAAUAC
rnacentral:rRNA from 1 species